rnacentral:tRNA from 1 species
CAAGAAGUAGUUUAAUAAGAAUAUCAGCUUUGGGUGUUGAUGGUGAGGGUUGCUUCCUUCUUCUUGA